rnacentral:rRNA from 1 species
UACGGGGGGGGUAAGCGUUGUUCGGAAUUACUGGGCGUAAAGGGCUCGUAGGCGGCCAACUAAGUCGGACGUGAAAUCCCUCAGCUUAACUGGGGAACUGCGUCCGAUACUGGAUGGCUUGGAUUUGGGAGAGGGAUGCAGAAUUCCAGGUGUAGCGGUGAAAUGCGUAGAUAUCUGGAGGAAUACCGGUGGCGAAGGCGGCAUCCUGGACCGACAUUGACGCUGAUGAGCGAAAGCUAGGGGAGCAAACGGG